UACGAAGGGUGCAAGCGUUAAUCGGAAUUACUGGGCGUAAAGCGCGCGUAGGUGGUUUGUUAAGUUGGAUGUGAAAGCCCCGGGCUCAACCUGGGAACUGCAUCCAAAACUGGCAAGCUAGAGUAUGGCAGAGGGUGGUGGAUUUCCUGUGUAGCGGUGAAAUGCGUAGAUAUAGGAAGGAACACCAGUGGCGAAGGCGACCACCUGGGCUAAUACUGACACUGAGGUGCGAAAGCGUGGGGAGCAAACAGGAUUAGA
rnacentral:rRNA from 1 species